rnacentral:rRNA from 1 species
GAUGAACGCUAGCGGCAGGCUUAAUACAUGCAAGUCGAGGGGCAGCACGGUUAGCAAUAACUGGUGGCGACCGGCGCACGGGUGCGUAACACGUAUACAAUCUACCUUAAACAGGGGGAUAGCCUUUCGAAAGAGAGAUUAAUACCCCGUAAUAAAUUGAACGGCAUCGUUUGAUUUUGAAAGCUCCGGCGGUUUGAGAUGAGUAUGCGUCUGAUUAGCUAGUUGGUGAGGUAACGGCUCACCAAGGCGACGAUCAGUAGGGGAUCUGAGAGGACUAACCCCCACACUGGUACUGAGACACGGACCAGACUCCUACGGGAGGCAGCAGUAAGGAAUAUUGGUCAAUGGAGGCAACCCUGAACCAGCCAUGCCGCGUGCAGGAUGACGGCCCUAUGGGUUGUAAACUGCUUUUAUACAAGAGAAAACCCUGGUACGUGUACCAGGUUGAUAGUAUUGUAAGAAUAAGCAUCGGCUAACUUCGUGCCAGCAGCCG